AUUGAACGCUGGCGGAAUGCUUUACACAUGCAAGUCGAACGGCAGCACGGGGGCAACCCUGGUGCCGAUUGGCGAACGGGUGGGUAAUACAUCGGACCGUGCCGGGUCGUGGGGGCUAACGUCCCGAAAGUUACGCUAAUCCCGCAUACGACCUGAGGAUGAAAGCGGGGGACCUUCGGACCUCGCGCGAUCGAUGCGACAGAUGUCAGAUUAGGUAGUUGGUGGGGUAAAGGCCUACAAAGCCGACGAUCUGUAGCUGGUCUGAGAGGACGACCAGCCACACUGGGACUGAGACACGGCCCAGACUCCUACGGGAGGCAGCAGUGGGGAAUUUUGGACAAUGGGCGCAAGCCUGAUCCAGCCAUUCCGCGUGCAGGACGAAGGCCUUCGGGUUGUAAACUGCUUUUGUAUGGAACGAAAAGGCUCUGGCUAAUACCUGGGGCUCAUGACGGUACCGUAAGAAUAAGCACCGGCUAACUACGUG
rnacentral:rRNA from 1 species